GCGCGCAAACUGCACGACCAGGCAACCAACGAGUUUGAAUUACGAUAAAGUUGACAUCUCAUACGUUGUUGAAACAGAACUUUACAGAAUGAUAUAUCCUGGUACUCUAACAACAGCACCAUUGAGGCAGUGCUGUAAUCACUACUGGAUCUUAGUAUUAGUUCCCUGUAGAAAUAUUUGCACGCCAGGACUUGUUAACGGCACUACUAUGCAGCCUACAUUCUAUAUACAGGGUGUUUUCGAUGUCUCAGUCAAAAUUGAUUUAUUGAUUUUAAAGACAUUAUUGAUUAUUGUAGGCCUCUAAGGCUAGGUAAUAUAUAAUUCCAGGUAAAAGUUACUUAAUCAAGCUUAUGAUAUUCGGAUAUCGUUUGAUAGGAUAUAACAUUUCAUAAUAUGUAACUAUGAGUGCCUUGGCCUAAAUGUUUUGGCUGCCUAUCUAUGUUGUUUGUUUUACCAAUGAUAUAAAACGAAACGUGUCUACAAAAAUAGUGUGAAUUGGCUUGUAUUCUAAAAAUGGAAGUAUUUUCUAAAGAAAAUUUUAACUCUGUAGGGUUACAUCAAGACUUCAUAGAUGAGCAAGAAGGGAAACUUAGCAAAAAAGACUUGCAGCUACUGACAAUAGAAUCACUCAUGAAAAAUGGAAAAAGGAAUGAUGACGCCUGCUUACAAGUUAUCGCAUCUCUUAAGUUAUUAGGUGUUUACGAUACUGACGUAAAGCAGGAUUCUAAGAUUGUGAACGAUCCAAUACACGGACAUAUAGAGCUUCACCCAGCAUGCUUGGCAAUCAUCGACACCCCUCAGUUCCAGAGACUUCGAAAUAUCAAACAGUUAGGCAUGUGUUAUCACGUAUAUCCAGGAGCAGCCCACAACAGAUUUGAGCACUCUCUGGGAGUGUGUUACCUCGCUGGUCAGUUUGCUCGGACUCUACAAAAGAACCAACCGUACCUUGGCAUCACAGACAAUGAUAUACUGUGUGUUGAAAUAGCUGGACUUUGUCAUGAUUUAGGCCAUGGUCCAUUCUCCCAUGUGUUUGACGGUCUUUUUAUUCCAGUGGUUCGUCCAGGCCAUCAGUGGAAGCACGAGCAGGCAUCAAUUGAUAUGCUGGAUUAUUUAAUUCAGGAAAAUAAACUAGUGUUGGAUGAUGAGGGACCUCUGAAAAAAUAUGGAUUGAAUGACACUGACAUAAUAUUCAUCAAGGAACAAAUAUUUGGGCCUUUAGAUAAAACCAAAGGACUUACAGGCAGAGAAAAACAUAAGCAUUAUUUAUAUGAGAUUGUGUCCAACAAAAGAAACGGCAUCGAUGUUGACAAGUGGGAUUACUUUGCUAGAGACUGCCACCAUCUCGGUAUAAAGAACAACUUCGAUCAUAAUCGAUUCAUGAAAUUUGCCAGAGUCAUCAAAGCCAAGGGAAAAGACACUGAUAAAGAAGCUGAAUGGCAAAUCUGUAUCCGUGAGAAAGAGAUCAGCAACCUCUACAAUAUGUUCUAUACAAGAUACACUCUACACAAGACUGCAUACCAGCAUAGAGUGACUAAGACCAUAGAGUCCAUGAUUAGACAAGUCCUGGUCAAAGCAAACGAUGACCUUCUGUUUGUUGCACAAGACGGUCGGAAACUCAAGAUGUCUGAGUGCAUUGAUGACAUGAAGGCUUACAGUCAACUGACUGACAAUGUUUUAUCUCAAAUCAUGGAUUCGAACAGUGAUUCUCCAAACAUGAAGGAGGCCAAGGAAAUAGUUCAGUGUAUUUUUACAAGAAAAUUGUAUCCUUGUAUCUACGAGAGUGACCCCUUGGAUCCCAAGAAUUUUACAUUGAAAGAGGAUGGCAUUCGAGAUGGUAUACUAAAAAGAGCUGAAGAAAUUGAUGCAGGAAACAAAUAUGUACCUGAUGAUCUAAUAGUACAGUUUGUCAAGCUAGACUUUGGCAUGAAGGACGAGAAUCCUGUUGAAAAACUCUUAGUGUAUUCCAAAGGUGCUGAAGACGAAGCCUCUGUUCUGACGAAAACUAAGCUUCAUCCAGUUUGGGUGUUGGAGAAAAAACGUGUACAAACUUUUGGUCAGACAGACAGACACACAGACAGACAGAGAGGCAGACAAACAGAGCGAGCAGAGUUUUGGGUCCCGUGAACUUCUCAGAGCUGUUCAUCCGAGUGGUCAGCCGAUCCCCCAACAUCGACACCCUGAAGAAAGCAGCCAGACAAUACGUUGAGACUACUAUUAAUACUAUUGAGCCUGCAGAAUAAGAUCAAAUUUAAGAUGUCAUCAUCGAAUCCAGUAAUGAGCUGACACAACAGAUAUUGGUGAACAUGUAGUCUUUUCAUCAAGCCUGCUAUUCAAUUUUAAAAAAAAUUCCAAUACUUUGGGGAAAUAUGUAACAACACGUUUUAUUUAUUUUUCUCUGGAGCUUUUUUAUGGCAUUAUUUUAUUAUAUUAAAUCAGUUCUCGUUUACAGGCAUUACAAACGGAUUUUGUUUUCAUAUAGUGCAAUUUAUUACUGUUUUAUUAUUUUGCAGUAAAAGUAAGGGUUAGGGUUGACAGAUUGCGCUUAUAUGGUAAUAAACACAUUGCAUAAGUGAUGUGUAUGGUUUAUUGACAUUUACGUUCUAGGGUAAUAGGCAUUUAUUUAGUCUUAUAAUAUUUUUUUCUGAUAUAUGAAUUUAUAAAAGGUCUAUAUAUUUAUUACAUAAAUAAAAUGUGGGUUUUAAUAUUGUGCGAGUUUAUAUAGCCAACGUUUAAGCAUGUAAUACAUAACUACAGAAUAAAACUGCAUAUUUCUACCUA